UUUACUCAGUGUCACUGUGUGUUGAGAAGGACAGGCCGGUGUCUAUCUCUGUUCCGAGGUACUUGAAGGACUGAACCUGCUCCACGAUCUGACCCUGGAUGCUGAGUGGCUGGAACAGUCCUGAUGGUUAAAGUCUC